rnacentral:ncRNA from 2 species
AGCAGCCGCGGUAAUUCCAGCUCCAAUAGCGUAUAUUAAAGUUGUUGCAGUUAAAAAGCUCGUAGUUGAAUUUCGGGAUUGGCGCAUCGGUCGUGCCUCACGGGGUAUGAACUGGUGCAGUCAAUUUCUCACCUUCUGGAGAACCGCGAUGUCCUUAAUUGGAUGCCGCGGGGAACCAGGACCUUUACUUUGAAAAAUUAGAGUGUUUAAAGCAGGCAUUUUUGCUUGAAUACAUUAGCAUGGAAUAAUAAAAUAGGACGGCAUGGUUCUAUUUUGUUGGUUUCUAGGACCACCGUAAUGAUUAAUAGGGAUAGUUGGGGGCAUUAGUAUUCAAUUGUCAGAGGUGAAAUUCUUGGAUUUAUUGAAGACUAACUACUGCGAAAGCAUUUGCCAAGGAUGUUUUCAUUAAUCAAGAACGAAAGUUAGGGGAUCGAAGACGAUCAGAUACCGUCGUAGUCUUAACCAUAAACUAUGCCGACUAGG